ACGCUCGACACCUAGGCAGCAGUGAGGAAUAUUGGUCAAUGGGCGCAGGCCUGAACCAGCCAAGUAGCGUGAAGGAUGACUGCCCUAUGGGUUGCAAACUUCUUUUAUAUGGGAAUAAAGUUUUCCACGUGUGGAAUUUUGUAUGUACCAUAUGAAUAAGGAUCGGCUAACUCCGUGGCAGCAGCCGCGGUAAUCUGAGCGGGCUGGCAAGGC
rnacentral:rRNA from 1 species